rnacentral:rRNA from 1 species
CCCGCUGAACUUAAGCAUAUCAAUAAGCGGAGGAAAAGAAACUAACAAGGAUUCCCCUAGUAACUGCGAGUGAAGCGGGAAAAGCUCAAAUUUAAAAUCUGGCGGUCUCGCGGCCGUCCGAGUUGUAAUCUGGAGAAGCGUUUAUCCGCGUCGGACCGUGUACAAGUCUUCUGGAAGGGAGCGUCAUAGAGGGUGAGAAUCCCGUCUUUGACACGGACAACCGAUGCUUUUGUGAUGCGCUCUCGAAGAGUCGAGUUGUUUGGGAAUGCAGCUCAAAAUGGGUGGUAAAUUCCAUCUAAAGCUAAAUAUUGGCGAGAGACCGAUAGCGAACAAGUACCGUGAGGGAAAGAUGAAAAGCACUUUGGAAAGAGAGUUAAACAGUACGUGAAAUUGUUAAAAGGGAAACGAUUGAAGUCAGUCGCGUCUACUUGGACUCAGCCUUGCCUUGGCUUGGUGCAUUUCCUUGUGGACGGGCCAGCGUUUAUGUUGGUUGCUGGAAAAGGUACAGGGGAAUGUGGCUCUUUUGGGAGUGUUAUAGCCCUAGUUCAUAUACAGUGACUAAUAUGGAGUGGUACAGCAUGCUUCGGCGGUGCUUGUGCUGGCAUAAUGGCUUUAAACGACCCGUCUUGAAACACGG